AUCCAGCUGACGAGUCCCAAAUAGGAAAAAACUCGUGUUCUGGAU
rfam:Schistosoma haematobium scaffold569_14, whole genome shotgun sequence.